GAUUAUAGCUGUCAGGUAAAAAAAUUUGCCGAAUCUACGUAUAUUGGCAGAUGUUGCUGUCGAAAUAAUUAUCUGUUAAUAAUGCAACAGUAAGAUUGAGUUUUUUGUAUUCUGUAUGUUUGCCUCCAGAGAUGUUAAGAUCUAAGAUCUUCCAAAACUUAAUUUUGUUUCAUACUGAAAUAUCAUUCCUCUGGUGCACAAGAAUUCUUAAAUAGGAGGUUCAUAAUGGCUUAAUAGCUGUUAUAAGUAUUUCAACUUGAUAUGUAGCUUUACAGAACUUUUAUGCAUCCUAAAGCAUUUGGCCUGGUAAACUCUUUCCAACUAGUAUGUUCUCUUCUGUGUUCCUUACACCAUAUUGAUAAUAUGAUAUGCCAAUAUUUACAUGUCCUUGAAGUUCUCAUCUUCUUAAAAGGUGAAAUAAACUCAAAAAAUGGAUAACAAACACUUUCAUACAAGAUUAUUUAUUGAAAUGGAUUUGAUUAUAGUCUCGAUUAUACACGCAUACUACUAUUCCUGCUCAUGUAAAUUUAUCUGGCAGUUCAAGUUCGGAGUACAUCCUCCUAUAAACAAAGAGGAUAAGAUACUGAGUGAGCCUUGUUUGGCAAUAUGCCCAACUGCCACACGGCGUAGAGAACUCAGGACCGCUAAUGAAUUGCAGUGCCCCAAACUAUAAUGGUAUGUACGAUGACACUGAAGAAAAUACAUAAUGACCAAGGACUUCUGACGACCAUCUUUCAGAAGUCUACUUCACUUGUACAGCAAAACCAAUCGUACUGUCUACCAGACAUGAUGGUUGUGGUUUGUUGCAGCAGAUAAUGAAUUAUCUGCAGCAUUGUUGCUGCUCGAGAUCCUCACAAAUAGGAGCUAUAUUAAAUGCAGGAAUUUUAAGUCUGUGCAAUACUAAUCCUUACACAUUAUAGUAUGCUCUUAUACUGAUCUUCUGUAUUAUAUACUAGAGAAGCUUCAGAAUAGCUGUCAUUGCUGUUUUGUGAUUACUGCCACACACAUUGUAAUGUGUAACUGUAAGAGUAUACUGUGUUUGAUAUGUACCUGGGCUCC
rnacentral:lncRNA from 1 species